CUUACAUUACAACCCAUUUCAAGUACAUCAUUCCAAUUACAUUCCAUACAUCAAUCAAAUUACAAGGAAAUAAAUCACAACAUGGCCAAGGGACUUCAAAACACAAAAUCAAAAGAAAGGGCUUUGGAAUAUUUAAAGAAAUUGUCUUUGAACAUUGCCAAAGUUAUUACGUUCAAGAGGUUACAUUACAAGAUCAUGAUACAUCGUUUAAUUUCAAGUCACUACAAUUCAAAUCGUCACAAGGAAAUUCACAUGGAUUUACAUCAAAACCUAAGCCUAAUCUUCAAUAUUUCUUCAUUCCAUGACCAAAUCUUUCACCAAUCUUCAUGCCAAGCUUGCAACCAAAACGUCCUUAACAUCACAAAACAAUCAAUAAUUAACCUCAUUACCAUGACCU